rnacentral:rRNA from 1 species
AACGAAUGCUGGCGGCAGGCUUAACACAUGCAAGUCGAGCGGGUACUUCGGUACUAGCGGCGCACGGGUGAGUAACGCGUAGAUAUCUGCCCUAAAAUCUGGGAUAACGAUUGGAAACGGUCGCUAAUACUGGAUACGCCCUAUGGGGGAAAGAUUUAUCGUUUUAGGAUGAUUUUACGUCGGAUUAGCUAGUUGGUGGGGUAAGUGCUUACCAAGGCGAUGAUCCGUAGCUGGUCUGAGAGGAUGAUCAGCCACACUGGGACUGAGACACGGCCCAGACGCCUACGGGAGGCAGCAGUGGGGAAUAUUGGACAAUGGGCGCAAGCCUGAUCCAGCCACGCCGCGUGAAUGAAGAAGACCUUAGGGUUGUAAAGUUCUUUCGCUAGGGAAGAUAAUGACUGUACCUAGAUAAGAAGCCCCGGCUAACUCCGUGCCAGCCGCCGCAGUAA